CAGUAGGGAGGAAGGUAGUGUAGUUAACACCUGCAUUAUUUGACGUUACCUACAGAAGAAGCACCGGCUAACUCCGUGCCAGCAGCCGCGGUAAUACGGAGGGUGCGAGCGUUAAUCGGAAUUACUGGGCGUAAAGCGCAUGCAGGCGGCCUGUUAAGUCAGAUGUGAAAGACCCGGGGCGUUAACCUACGGAAUUGCAUUUGUAAACUGGCAGGCUAGAGUCUUGUAGAGGGGGGUAGGAAGUUUCAGGUGUAGCGGUGAAAUGCGUAGAGAUCUGAAGGAAUACCAGUGGCGAAGGCGGCCCCCUGGACAAAGACUGACGCUCAGAUGCGAAAGCGUGGGGAGCAAACAGGAUUAGAUACCCUGGUAG
rnacentral:rRNA from 1 species